rnacentral:rRNA from 1 species
UACCCGCUGAACUUAAGCAUAUCAAUAAGCGGAGGAAAAGAAACCAACCGGGAUUGCCUCAGUAACGGCGAGUGAAGCGGCAAAAGCUCAAAUUUGAAAUCUGGCGCCUCUUGGUGCCCGAGUUGUAAUUUGUAGAGGCGACUUUUGGGGCCGGUCCUUGUCUAUGUUCCUUGGAACAGGACGUCAUGGAGGGUGAGAAUCCCGUGUGGCGAGGACAGACGAGCUCCUUGUAAAGCGUUCUCGAAGAGUCGAGUUGUUUGGGAAUGCAGCUCUAAGUGGGUGGUAAAUUCCAUCUAAAGCUAAAUACAGGCGAGAGACCGAUAGCGAACAAGUACAGUGAUGGAAAGAUGAAAAGAACUUUGAAAAGAGAGUGAAAAAGUACGUGAAAUUGUUGAAAGGGAAGGGCAUUUGAUCAGACAUGGCGUUUUGCGCCCCCUGCUCCUUGUGGGCGGGGGACUCUCGCAGCUCGCUGGGCCAGCAUCGGUUUUUGCGGCAGGAGAAAGCCCGGGGAACGUGGCUUGCGCCUUUUGGGGCAAGUGUUUAUAGCCCUGGGGAAUACUGCCAGCGGGGACCGAGGACUGCGGUGCUUGUCGCCAAGGAUGCUGGCAUAAUGGUUAUAUGCCGCCCGUCUUGAAACACGGACCAAGGAGUCUAACGUCUAUGCGAGUGUUUGGGUGUGAAACCCGUACGCGUAAUGAAAGUGAACGUAGGUUGGGGCCUCGCAAGAGGUGCACAAUCGACCGAUCCUGAAGUGUUCGGAAGGAUUUGAGUAAGAGCAUAGCUGUUGGGACCCGAAAGAUGGUGAACUAUGCCUGAAUAGGGUGAAGCCAGAGGAAACUCUGGUGGAGGCUCGUAGCGGUUCUGACGUGCAAAUCGAUCGUCGAAUUUGGGUAUAGGGGCGAAAGACUAAUCGA